UGAGAAACCCGAAAGAUCGAAUGGGGAGACUCAUCGUUAAUGUGAUUGGCUAUCAUGUGGUAUGGCGAUGGAUCAGGAUUUAUUUUUGAUUCACACUACUACUGUGAUUGUGUCCAAUUACGUCGGCGUGCACUUCUCCUCUAGUAGAACGUCGCGACCCGCUAAGUGUCGGUUUAAGGGCCAGGAUCGUUGACUGUACCGUCGCUUCGGCGUUAUGUGUACAGACGCUUGGACUUCCCAAUCGACUGCUUGGCGGUAUGUACAAUGGUAUCGAGCCGCACUUGAAUGCGUUCAGACACGUUGCAAGCUUGAUUUAGACUUGGAUUACGGACCUAGUGCCGUAACUGGGUAUGAUCAGCUGUUGGUUGACGAUGUUCUCGAACCGGCUUAGAAUGCAAUUACAGCGAUACCGGUCUGCGACGCUAUUGCUUUGGGUACUUUCAGGACCCGUCUUGAAACACGGACCAAGGAGUCUAACAUGUACGCGAGUCAUUGGGAUUAAAUAAAACCUAAAGGCGUAUUGAAAGAAAAGAUUGGCUUUAUGUCGAUUGAGGGAGGAUAAGCUAACAUAUAUUUUAUAUAAUGUGGCUUCGCACUCCCGGGGCGUCUCUUAAAGUCAUUGCGACUUGAGGUGCACCUAGAGCGUACACGUUGGGACCCGAAAGAUGGUGAACUAUGCCUGGUCAGGAUGAAGUCAGGGGAAACCCUGAUGGAGGUCCGUAGCGUAUCUGACGUGCAAAUCGAUCGUCGGAACUGGGUAUAGGGG
rnacentral:rRNA from 1 species